AGAAACCCCGGCUAACUCCGUGCCAGCAGCCGCGGUAAUACGGAGGGUGCAAGCGUUAUCCGGAAUCAUUGGGUUUAAAGGGUCCGUAGGCGGAUUAAUAAGUCAGAGGUGAAAUCCUACAGCUCAACUGUAGAACUGCCUUUGAUACUGUUAGUCUUGAGUUAUUGUGAAGUGGUUAGAAUAUGUAGUGUAGCGGUGAAAUGCAUAGAUAUUACAUAGAAUACCAAUUGCGAAGGCAGAUCACU
rnacentral:rRNA from 1 species